ensembl:lncRNA
UGAGUUAGAGGACCAAGCCCUUUGUCUCUUUUCUGCUGUGUUCUGAACCGAUUCUCAAGGUAUUGCCACUGUUUGUUUUUUUAAGGAAACUCCAGUUAAGAUUUGCAUGCUUGCCAAAGCCACAGUGGUGUUGUGACUUGUCAGUGCUCACUAUGAGGAAGACAAAGCAGAAAAAUUAAUAAAGUCACCCACAGGGAAAUCUAUUCAGAUGUAUUCAUCUUGAGCCAAAUGCUGCUGCUGGGUUCCUGAGGAGUUGAGUGUGAAUUGCAUGAGGGAUGAGCAAAGCGGGAGCUUUUUGAAGGAAAACACAUGACAAACUGAAAGUCACUGACUUCUUGGGACUUUCAGAAUACUGAGUUUACAAGGUGAACCACCACCCCAAAAUCUGAAGAAAUGAGCACAUCCAGAAAGUCAUAUUUGAGAUCUGUUUCACUGAAGGAGAAGACACUAGACUCAUAAACCGAAAUCCAUGGAUACAGAACUGGCAGAACCUUCAUGGGCAAGACCGUCUUUAGAUUGUACAUCCACUCCAGUGAGGACAUCAGAAAACAAGUGCCAUACCUCCCUCCCAGUCUUUGUGAUUAACCACUGAAACAGCACUCCCCACUCAUCUGCUUUUCUCCUGACAACAACCAAAGUCAAGGGUUUGAUGCUCAUAACCAACCCCAGAGUUACACUCCCUCCCAGCCCCACUACAUAGUAAGAGUUAGUAUCAAUUUUUAAAUUACUUUGAUUUCAUUAUAUUGCCAAUUGUAAUAAUGAAAAUAUUUUAUCUUCAUAAUAAUAAAAAUAUAUAAAUUCAAC